rnacentral:rRNA from 1 species
ACAUGCCUACAACAUAGAGUUAAUUCACCGGAUCCCAUUAGAACUUCAUAGUUAAGUGCUCUCAGGUUAGAGUAGUACUAGGAUGGGUGACCACCCAGGAAGUCCUAGUGUUUUACAUGCC